rnacentral:rRNA from 1 species
CUUUCAGUCCACAUCACUUUGAAAACAUCGGAUCUCGUUCGAUCACCGAAGUUAAUCAACUUCGAGCUUGGUUAGUACUUAAAUGAGUGAGUUUGUUAUCAGAGGAGAAACCUAGGUGUUAUAAGC